rnacentral:rRNA from 1 species
UAGGGAAUCUUCCACAAUGGUCGAAAGCCUGAUGGAGCAACGCCGCGUGUGUGAUGAAGGGUUUCGGCUCGUAAAACACUGUUGUAAGAGAAGAAUGACAUUGAGAGUAACUGUUCAAUGUGUGACGGUAUCUUACCAGAAAGGAACGGCUAAAUACGUUCCAG